AUUGAACGCUGGCGGCAGGCCUAACACAUGCAAGUCGGACGGUAGCACAGAGAGCUUGCUCUCGGGUGACGAGUAGCGGACGGGUGAGUAAUGUCUGGGAAACUGCCCGAUGGAGGGGGAUAACUACUGGAAACGGUAGCUAAUACCGCAUAACGUCUUCGGACCAAAGUGGGGGACCUUCGGGCCUCACACCAUCGGAUGUGCCCAGAUGGGAUUAGCUAGUAGGUGGGGUAAUGGCUCACCUAGGAGACGAUCCCUAGCUGGUCUGAGAGGAAGACCAGCCACACUGGAACUGAGACACGGUCCAGACCCCUACGGGAGGCAGCAGUUGGGAAGAUUGCACAAUGGGCGCAAGCCUGAUGCAGCCAUGCCGCGUGUAUGAAGAAGGCCUUCGGGUUGUAAAGUACUUUCAGCGGGGGGGAAGGCGAUGGAGUUAAUAGCUUCAUCGAUUGACGUUACCCGCAGAAGAAGCACCGGCUAACUCCGUGCCAGCAGCCGCAGUAA
rnacentral:rRNA from 1 species